UACGUAGGGGGCAAGCGUUGUCCGGAUUUAUUGGGCGUAAAGAGCGUGUAGGCGGCCAUACAGGUCCGUUGUGAAAACUGGAGGCUUAACCUCCAGACGUCGAUGGAAACCGUAUGGCUAGAGUCCGGAAGAGGAGAGUGGAAUUCCUGGUGUAGCGGUGAAAUGCGCAGAUAUCAAGGAAGACACCCGUGGCGAAGGCGGCUCUCUGGGACGGUACUGACGCUGAGACGCGAAAGCGUGGGGAGCGAACAGG
rnacentral:rRNA from 1 species